CCGGGAUACCGUCUUAUCGUGUUUGUCGCACUAUAGACCGCUUUCGGGCGGGGAUUAGUGGCGAACGGGUGAGUAACACGUGGGCAAUCUGCCCUGCACUCUGGGACAAGCCCUGGAAACGGGGUCUAAUACCGGAUAUGACUGUCCAUCGCAUGGUGGAUGGUGUAAAGCUCCGGCGGUGCAGGAUGAGCCCGCGGCCUAUCAGCUUGUUGGUGAGGUAGUGGCUCACCAAGGCGACGACGGGUAGCCGGCCUGAGAGGGCGACCGGCCACACUGGGACUGAGACACGGCCCAGACUCCUACGGGAGGCAGCAGUGGGGAAUAUUGCACAAUGGGCGAAAGCCUGAUGCAGCGACGCCGCGUGAGGGAUGACGGCCUUCGGGUUGUAAACCUCUUUCAGCAGGGAAGAAGCGAAAGUGACGGUACCUGCAGAAGAAGCGCCGGCUAACUACGUGCCAGCAGCCGCGGUAAUACGUAGGGCGCAAGCGUUGUCCGGAAUUAUUGGGCGUAAAGAGCUCGUAGGCGGCUUGUCACGUCGGUUGUGAAAGCCCGGGGCUUAACCCCGGGUCUGCAGUCGAUACGGGCAGGCUAGAGUUCGGUAGGGGAGAUCGGAAUUCCUGGUGUAGCGGUGAAAUGCGCAGAUAUCAGGAGGAACACCGGUGGCGAAGGCGGAUCUCUGGGCCGAUACUGACGCUGAGGAGCGAAAGCGUGGGGAGCGAACAGGAUUAGAUACCCUGGUAGUCCACGCCGUAAACGGUGGGCACUAGGUGUGGGCAACAUUCCACGUUGUCCGUGCCGCAGCUAACGCAUUAAGUGCCCCGGCCUUGGGGAGUACGGGCCGCAAGGCUAAAACUUCAAAGGAAUUUGACGGGGCCCGCACAAGCGUCGGAGCAUGUGCCUUAAUUCCGACGUCACGCGAAGAAUCUUACCAAGGGCUUGACUAUACACCCGGAAAACGU
rnacentral:rRNA from 1 species